rnacentral:rRNA from 1 species
AAUGGACCAGGAUUAGAUACCCUGUUACUUUCAAUAAAGAUAUUUUGGAACAUUAGUAGUAAUGAAAUUUAGCGGAUUUGGCGGCAAGACAGCCCAUUUAGAGGAACCUGCCCUGUAAACGAUGAACCACGAUGAACUUUAUUCUUGUUAGAAGACAGUUUGUAUACCGCUGUUGUAAGUUAGUUUUUUUAGAAAACUUUCAAUAAUGGGAUUGCCAUUGACUUCAAGUAAAGGUGCAGCUUAUGCAAGAGAUAGAGGUGGGUUACAAUUAGUUAGAUUAAAACGGAAGAAGUAAUAUGAAAAAACUUUUGAAGGAGGAUUUAAGAGUAAAACUUAGAAAGGUUUGAUGAGAGCACUGUCUUGUGUACACACCGCCCGUCGCUCUCUUUUUAAAA